UUACGGCCAUAUCAUGGUGAAACACAAGUUCUCGUCCGACCACCGAAGUUAAGCAAUGUCCAGCCUGGUCAGUACCUCGGUGACUCCUUGGGAAUACCAGGUGCUGUAAU